GAGGAAUAUUGGUCAAUGGGCGAGAGCCUGAACCAGCCAAGUCGCGUGAAGGAAGACUGCCUUAUGGGUUGUAAACUUCUUUUAUACAGGAAUAAAAAGGCUUACGUGUAGGCCAUUGCAAGUACUGUAUGAAUAAGCAUCGGCUAACUCCGUGCCAGCAGCCGCGGUAAUACGUAGGGGGCAAGCGUUGUCCGGAUUUAUUGGGCGUAAAGGGUGCGUAGGCGGCCUUUUAAGUCAGAUGUGAAAGGUCACGGCUCAACCGUGGUAAGCAUUUGAAACUGGAAGGCUUGAGUUAAGGAGAGGAAAGUGGAAUUCCUAGUGUAGCGGUGAAAUGCGUAGAUAUUAGGAGGAAUACCAGUGGCGAAGGCGACUUUCUGGACUUAUACUGACGCUGAUGCACGAAAGCGUGGGGAGCGAACA
rnacentral:rRNA from 1 species